rnacentral:tRNA from 1 species
GCUCUCGUAGUGUAGUCCGGUCAAGCACUAAGCCCUCUCGAGGCUUAAACUCGGGUUCGAACACAUUAAGUUUAAAGAAACUUAUGCGCGAAAGUCCCGGCGAGGGCA